rnacentral:rRNA from 1 species
CCUACGGGUGGCAGCAGUGAGGAAUAUUGGUCAAUGGUCGGAAGACUGAACCAGCCAUGCCGCGUGCGGGAUGAAGGUACAGAGUAUCGUAAACCUCUUUUGUCAGGGAACAAAGGCGGGGACGCGUCCCCGGAUGAGUGUACCUGACGAAAAAGCAUCGGCUAACUCCGUGCCAGCAGCCGCGGUAAUACGGAGGAUGCGAGCGUUAUCCGGAUUUAUUGGGUUUAAAGGGUGCGCAGGCGGUCUGUUAAGUCAGCGGUGAAAGGCCGGGGCUCAACCCCGGGCCGGCCUCUAAAACUGGUAGUCUCGAGUUUGAUAGCAGUAGGCGGAAUGUACGAUGUAGCGGUGAAAUGCAUAGAGAUCGUGCAGAACACCGAUUGCGAAGGCAGCAUGCCGG